GAUGAACGCUGGCGGCGUGCCUAAUACAUGCAAGUCGAGCGAACAGACGAGGAGCUUGCUCCUCUGGCGUUAGCGGCGGACGGGUGAGUAACACGUGGAUAACCUACCUAUAAGACUGGGAUAACUUCGGGAAACCGGAGCUAAUACCGGAUAAUAUAUUGAACCGCAUGGUUCAAUAGUGAAAGACGGUUUUGCUGUCACUUAUAGAUGGAUCCGCGCCGCAUUAGCUAGUUGGUAAGGUAACGGCUUACCAAGGCGACGAUGCGUAGCCGACCUGAGAGGGUGAUCGGCCACACUGGAACUGAGACACGGUACAGACUCCUACGGGAGGCAGCAGUAGGGAAUCUUCCGAAAUGGGCGAAAGCCUGACGGAGCAACGCCGCGUGAGUGAUGAAGGUCUUCGGAUCGUAAAACUCUGUUAUUAGGGAAGAACAAAUGUGUAAGUAACUAUGCACGUCUUGACGGUACCUAAUCAGAAAGCCACGGCUAACUACGUG
rnacentral:rRNA from 1 species